rnacentral:sRNA from 1 species
AUUGAGAAGCAAUAAGAAGCUUGGUUAGUGUUUUGGAGUCAAAUAUGACUAGAUGUCAUGUGUAUGAUUGAGUAUAAGAACUAGAACGGCAACCGAUUCCCAAUAG